rnacentral:rRNA from 1 species
CUAGCUGUAAACGAUGGAUACUAGGCGUUGAGAGUAUCGACCCUCUCAGUGUCGUAGCUAACGCGUUAAGUAUCCCGCCUGGGGAGUACGCGCGCAAGCGUGAAACUCAAAGGAAUUGACGGGGGCCCGCACAAGCGGUGGAGUAUGUGGUUUAAUUCGAUGCAACGCGAAGAACCUUACCAGGGCCUGACAUGUCCGGAACCCUGCCCAAAGGCGGGGGUGCCUACGGGAACCGGGACACAGGUGGUGC